rnacentral:rRNA from 1 species
GCGGCAACAGCUCAAAUUUGAAAUCUGGCCUCCUUUGGUGGUCCGAGUUGUAAUUUGCAGAGGGUGCUUUGGUGUUGACAGCGGUCUAAGUUCCUUGGAACAGGACGUCACAGAGGGUGAGAAUCCCGUACGUGGUCGCACGUCUUCACCGUGUAAAGCCCCUUCGACGAGUCGAGUUGUUUGGGAAUGCAGCUCUAAAUGGGAGGUAAAUUUCUCCUAAAGCUAAAUAUUGGCCAGAGACCGAUAGCGCACAAGUAGAGUGAUCGAAAGAUGAAAAGCACUUUGGAAAGAGAGUCAAAAAGCACGUGAAAUUGUUGAAAGGGAAGCGCUUGCAGCCAGACUUGCCCGUAGUUGCUCACCCGGACUUUUGCCCGGGGCACUCUUCUGCGGGCAGGCCAGCAUCAGUUUGGGCGACCGGAUAAUGGCCUCUGUCAUGUAUCAUCCUUCGGGAUGACCUUAUAGGGGAGGCGUAAUGCGGCCAGCCUGGACUGAGGUCCGCGCAUCUGCUAGGAUGCUGGCGUAAUGGCUGUAAGCGGCCCGUCUUGAAACACGGACCAAGGAGUCUAACAUCUAUGCGAGUGUUUGGGUGUCAAGCCCGGGCGCGUAAUGAAAGUGAACGGAGGUGGGAACCCUUUGGGUGCACCAUCGACCGAUCCUGAUGUUCUCGGAUGGAUUUGAGUAAGAGCAUAGCUGUUGGGACCCGAAAGAUGGUGAACUAUGCUUGAAUAGGGUGAAGCCAGAGGAAACUCUGGUGGAGGCUCGCAGCGGUUCUGACGUGCAAAUCGAUCGUCAAA